rnacentral:tRNA from 1 species
UGAGGUAUAGCUCAAUUGGUAGAGCACUUGGCUGUUAAAAGGUUUGUUGUAGGGUUCAAGUCCCACUACCUCAG